AUCGCCCGUCGCUGUUCGGGACUGAGCUGCCUCGAGAAAAGCGAUACCUUUCAAGGGUAGAGAUUCUUUAGUGGAAAUUGCUUUAAUCGCGUACCGGGCAAAAGCCGUAACAAGGUUUCGGUAGGUGAACCUGCGGAAG
rnacentral:ncRNA from 1 species